AUUGAACGCUGGCGGCAGGCCUAACACAUGCAAGUCGAGCGGAUGAUGGGAGCUUGCUCCUUGAUUCAGCGGCGGACGGGUGGGUAAUGCCUAGGAAUCUGCCUGGUAGUGGGGGACAACGUUUCGAAAGGAACGCUAAUACCGCAUACGUCCUACGGGAGAAAGCAGGGGACCUUCGGGCCUUGCGCUAUCAGAUGAGCCUAGGUCGGAUUAGCUAGUUGGUGAGGUAAUGGCUCACCAAGGCGACGAUCCGUAACUGGUCUGAGAGGAUGAGCAGGCACACUGGAGCUGUGAUACGGUCCAGGCUCCUACGGGAGGCAGCAGUGGAGAAUAUUGGACAAGGGGCGAAAGCCUGAUCCAGCCAUGCCGCGUGUGUGAAGAAGGUCUUCGGAUUGUAAAGCACUUUAAGUUGGGAGGAAGGGCAGUAAGUUAAUGCCUUGCUGUUUUGACGUUACCGACAGAAUAAGCACCGGCUAACUCUGUGCCAGCAGCCGCCGUAAUAC
rnacentral:rRNA from 1 species